UACAAAGUAGUGCUUUCGUAUGACCUUUA
rnacentral:piRNA from 1 species